ACAGCACUUACAGGAUGUUUUUCCAUGGGUGUCUCCAGUCUCAUGCACAGUGAAUCCCAGAUAAUCCCCACAUAUCUUUUAGGACUGUGUGUUGGCCAGCACAUCCUGGCUGGAAAGAAUAAUGCAGAUGUAACCUGGGCAUUUAAUCACAUGGAGGAAUUUAGGCUGUGCUGGGGCCAUGUUGCAGCAGCCCCAAGGUCACUUUGCGGUAACAAUCCACCUAAUCCACAAUUUUCACAGAUCGGUCACUCUUAGGUGACAAUCCCCCUGACUCUUCUUGGCCUGCCAGCUGUUCUGUCCAGGUGAGUGGGGGGAAGCAGAGCCCAUGGCUGAGGGAGGCCGUGCCUACAGCUCAGGGUCCUGGCUAAACCGAGCUGCAUCUUACAGGGACCACAUGUAGUGAGCCACACGUUCAUCUCCACACCUGCACUUCCAGUUUGGGUUAAACCUGCCACCUAGACAACGCCGACUGCAGCUGGGGACACGCCUGGAGCCCUGCAAGCAAGUCGGAAAGUCCAUGCCUUGAUAUUCUCCACCCGUUUCCUGAGUGUACAGCAUGUCUUACCUUUGGUGAAUAUUUGGGAGGAGUGCUUUCAUAGACUGCCACAUCUCCAUGAAGGCAUGAGGAAGUAAACACCUCUGAGCGAAGCCUCCCCAGAAAGGCAACAGCAGUUGGCUCAAACCCCGUCUUCCUACUCAAACCUCACACUUUAGGCACUGCUCAGACGAUUACUUUGAGUUCCUUUAAGAACCUCCAGUUGUUUUCUGACUCGCUUCUGCUUUGGGCAUUGAUGAUGAGUGGGAAGCCUGAAAACUUGCAAAGUCUAUUCUGUAGUUUA